UGCAUCGAUGAAGAACGCAGCGAAAUGCGAUACCUAGUGUGAAUUGCAGAAUUCCGCGAAUCAUCGAGUCUUUGAACGCAAGUUGCGCCCGAGGCUUGUCCGAGGGCAUUUCCGCUAGAGCGUCACCGCGCCCCCCCACCGAUCCGCACUCCCGCCGCGAGGCGAUGGUGCACGAGGGUCGAGUGGAUGUGGCCGUCCCGGCGGGCCUCCGCGAGGAGGCCGAGUGCGAAAGAGGGUCGGCUGAAAUGGAUGGAAUCGGGCCGCCGUGGUGACACAGUCCGCGAUCGGGUGACUUUUUCGCGAGCCUCCUCCGGGAGGGUCGGCGUGAAUUUUUCGGAGUGCGUGGCUGCGUCCCCCAGUUGGCUUCGGUGUUGCCUCGUGCAGGUCGAGCGCGCCUCCCGAGGCGCGCGUCACGCAUCAGACCUCUAAUCGGAAAAGACCACCCGCUGAGUUUAAGCAUAUCAAUAAGCGGAGGA
rnacentral:rRNA from 1 species